CUCAGGAAACUUAAAGGAAUUGACGGGGGCCCGCACAAGCAGCGGAGCAUGUGGUUUAAUUCGAAGCAACGCGAAGAACCUUACCAAGACUUGACAUCCCCUGACAGCUGUUGAAAGGCAGUGUCUCUUCGGAGCAGGGGAGACAGGUGGUGCAUGGUUGUCGUCAGCUCGUGUCGUGAGAUGUUGGGUUAAGUCCCGCAACGAGCGCAACCCUUAUCCUUAGUUACCAGCACGUAAAGGUGGGGACUCUAGGGAGACCGCCGGGGACGACUCGGAGGAAGGUGGGGACGACGUCAAAUCAUCAUGCCCCUUAUGUCUUGGGCUACACACGUGCUACAAUGGCCGCAACAGAGGGAAGCGAGAGCGCAAGCUGGAGACAAAACCCUAAAAAGCGGUCCCAGUUCGGAUUGUGGGCUGCAACCCGCCCACAUGAAGUCGGAGUUGCUAGUAAUCGCGAAUCAGCAUGUCGCGGGUGAAUGCGUUCCCGGGCCUU
rnacentral:rRNA from 1 species